GAUGAAGAACGCAGCGAAAUGCGAUAAGUAAUGUGAAUUGCAGAAUUCAGUGAAUCAUCGAAUCUUUGAACGCACCUUGCGCUCUUUGGUAUUCCGAAGAGCAUGCCUGUUUGAGUGUCAUGAAAAUAUCAACCUUGACUUGGGUUUUGUGCUCUAGUCUCGGCUUGGAAUUGGGUGCUUGCCGCUUUUACGAGCGGCUCACCUUAAAUGUAUUAGCUGGAUCUGUCUUUGAGACUUGGUUUGACUUGGCGUAAUAAGUAUUUCGCUAAGGACAUUCUUCGGAGUGGCCUCGUUUCUAGGACGCUUGUCCGCUUUCCAGUACAAGUUCCACCUCGUGGACAUGACUUUUUAUUAUCUGGCCUCAAAUCAGGUAGGACUACCCGCUGAACUUAAGCAUAUCAAUAAGCGGAGGA
rnacentral:misc_RNA from 1 species